GAUAUACCCUCUCCUUCCCGGAUUAUUUGUCACAUAAAUGGAAGUAUCUAGAUGUAUUUCUAGUUCUAGAUACAUCAAUUCUUAUCCAUUUUUGCGACAAGUAAUCCGGGACGGAGGGAGUACAUU
rfam:Triticum aestivum genome assembly, contig: Triticum_aestivum_CS42_TGACv1_scaffold_641631_T_3AL-0.253708_2AS-0.183100